rnacentral:rRNA from 1 species
ACGAACGCUGGCGGCGUGCCUAAUACAUGCAAGUCGAGCGGAAUGAUGAAGAAGCUUGCUUCUUCUGAUUUUAGCGGCGGACGGGUGAGUAACACGUGGGCAACCUACCUUGUAGAUUGGGAUAACUCCGGGAAACCGGGGCUAAUACCGAAUAAUCCAUUUUGCUUCAUGGCGAGAUGUUGAAAGACGGUUUCGGCUGUCACUAUAAGAUGGGCCCGCGGCGCAUUAGCUAGUUGGUAGGGUAAUGGCCUACCAAGGCGACGAUGCGUAGCCGACCUGAGAGGGUGAUCGGCCACACUGGGACUGAGACACGGCCCAGACUCCUACGGGAGGCAGCAGUAGGGAAUCUUCCACAAUGGACGAAAGUCUGAUGGAGCAACGCCGCGUGAGUGAAGAAGGUUUUCGGAUCGUAAAACUCUGUUGCAAGGGAAGAACACGUACGAGAGUAACUGCUCGUACCUUGACGGUACCUUAUUAGAAAGCCACGGCUAACUACGUG